CUGGCGACCGGCGCACGGGUGAGUAUCGCGUUUGUAACCUACCCUUAACUGGGGGAUAGCCCGAAGAAAUUCGGAUUAAUACCCCAUUAAAUUUUAGCACGGCAUCGUGCUUCCAUUAAAGCUCCGGCGGUUAAGGAUGGGCAUACGUGACAUUAGUUUGUUGGUGAGGUAACGGCUCACCAAGACUACGAUGUCUAGGGGGUCUGAGAGGACGAUCCCCCCACACUGGUACUGAGACACGGACCAG
rnacentral:rRNA from 1 species